rnacentral:rRNA from 1 species
UACGUAGGGCGCAAGCGUUGUCCGGAAUCACUGGGCGUAAAGCGCACGUAGGCGGCUUUCUAAGUCAGGGGUGAAAUCCUGGAGCUCAACUCCAGAACUGCCUUUGAUACUGGAGAGCUAGAGUCCGGAAGAGGUGAGUGGAACUGCGAGUGUAGAGGUGAAAUUCGUAGAUAUUCGCAAGAACACCAGUGGCGAAGGCGGCUCACUGGUCCGGUACUGACGCUGAGGUGCGAAAGCGUGGGGAGCAAACAGG